AUACGGAAGGUCCUGGCGUUAUCCGGAUUUAUUGGGUUUAAAGGGUGCGUAGGCUGUGCGUUAAGUCAGGGGUGAAAUGCCGUCGCUCAACGACGGAGCUGCCCUUGAUACUGGCGUGCUGGAGUACGGAUGCCGUUGGAGGAAUGAGUGGUGUAGCGGUGAAAUGCUUAGAUAUCACUCAGAACACCGAUUGCGAAGGCAUCUGACGAAUCCGUCACUGACGCUGAGGCACGAAAGCGUGGGGAUAGAACAGGAUUAGAUACCCUGGUAUUCCACGCCGUAAACGAUGAUGACUAACCGUCGGCGAUAGACAGCCGGUGGCCAAGCGAAAGCGAUAAGUCAUCCACCUGGGGAGUACGUCGGCAACGAUGAAACUCAAAUGAAUUGACGGGG
rnacentral:rRNA from 1 species